GGGGAAUAUUGCGCAAUGGGGGAAACCCUGACGCAGCGACGCCGUGUGAGGGAAGAAGGCUUUCGGGUCGUAAACCUCUGUCGGGAAGGAAGAACCCCCCAGGUCCGAAUAGGGCCUGGGGCUGACGGUACUUCCAAAGGAAGCACCGGCUAACUCCGUGCCAGCAGCCGCGGUAAUACGGAGGGUGCAAGCGUUGUCCGGAAUUAUUGGGCGUAAAGCGCGCGCAGGUGGUUUCUUAAGUCUGAUGUGAAAGCCCACGGCUUAACCGUGGAGGGUCAUUGGAAACUGGGAGACUUGAGUGCAGAAGAGGAAAGUGGAAUUCCAAGUGUAGCGGUGAAAUGCGUAGAGAUUUGGAGGAACACCAGUGGCGAAGGCGACUUUCUGGUCUGCAACUGACGCUGAGGCGCGAAAGCAUGGGGAGCAAACA
rnacentral:rRNA from 1 species